AAAUGAAUUCAUCAGGGUAGUAAUCAUGAUAUGUAUCACAAUGACAAUGAUUAAUAAUGAAAGUUACACAAAUUAUAAGGAGAAGGCUGAAGGAGGAUGGAAUAUAUAGUUAUAUCAAAGAGUCUAAGUCAUAUACUAAGGUAAUACUUUCACAGCAAUCUCCAGGUUCAUUACUAAACCACAGGAUACUCCAAAAAUCACACUUUAUCAUUUGAACCAUUUCAAUUAUUGGUAGACUCUGGAGAAGGCAAAAUAUUAUUCUACCUUCCAAAGGCACUACAUACAGAACCCAAAUGAAAAAUGAAGGGAGAAGAGAUAUUACAUAUAAAGAGGGCCUCAGAGGAUUUUGGCAGCAUUGACAGUGAUGAGGUAAGAGAAGAAAUAAAAAGAGCAUAUCCCAUUUCAAUUCAACAUGCCUGUUAGCCUGUAUAAGCUCAAGCUUUUCUAUAUGAUUACAUGUACAAGUUUUCUUACUGAUACAGGUGACAUAAUAUUAGGGAAAUAUAAAAUGUAAAGAAAAUAAAAAUAAUAUGUUACGGUAAGUCAAGUAUGUGCCAAGAUAUAAGCAUGUUAUACCAGAUAAAACUAACAUAACAUGUACUAACAACCAUUGGACCAGUAAUUAGUGACACAUGAUUCCAGAGACUUAGAUGAAAUCUUCCAAGAUACCUACAGAGAUAAAACUGCAGUUCCAGACCUACAAUGAGAAGAAACUAAAUAUGAGAUUAAUCAUAUCCCCACCUUAUCGUAUAAUGCUCACAACUGGAUUUAUUUUCUUGGAACAUGCACAGUAAGAAGUCCUGUUGCUAAAACUAGCAAACGGAAGAGUAAAAGGACAUGUUAUGUAAACACAAUACCUUUUCUUGUAAGGAAAACAGCUAGGAUAUGCUGUACACAUUACAUUGCCUUUUGUAAUCUGGCCAUUUUGUGAUAGGUAUAAACAGAGAGGCUGUGAUACUUCAUAAUUGCAAUAUAGAUUUGUUUCUGUAAUACGGUUGUGGCUGCCUGAUCAAUUCACAUAAUAGUCUCAAUCACUCUUUCCCCUUUUGCAAGGUGGAUGUACUACUCAUUGAAAAAUUGCAAUUCAAGCAUAUACAUCUCCUAUCAAUUUCAUCCAUGGGUUAUCAUCAUCAACAAGCCUCUGUGAGUUUAAAUACUGCAUCAACUUCGUCACAUGUUGAAGACUGGCAGAUGUCG
rnacentral:lncRNA from 1 species